rnacentral:rRNA from 1 species
CCCUUAGAUGUUCUGGGCCGCACGCGUGCUACACUGAGUGGAUCAGCGGGUCAGCUUGCGCGAAAGCGUUUCCUAAUCUUUAAAUCCGCUCGUUAUGGGGAUUGACGGUUGCAAUUUUCUGUCAUGAACGAGGAAUACCUUGUAAGCGCGGGUCAUCAUCCCGCGCUGAAUACGUCCCUGCCCUUUGUACACACCGCCCGUCGCUCCUACCGAUUGAGUGGUCCGGUGAGGCUUUGGGAUCUGAGCGGAAAGAGCGUUUCGCUGUUUCUGCUCGGAAAACUCAGUCGAACCUUAUCAUUUAGAGGAAGGAGAAGUCGUAACA